ensembl:miRNA
GGAAGUAUUAGGUUGAUGCAAAAGUAAUUGUGGUUUUUGCCAUUGAAAGUAAUGGCAAAGUCCACUAUUACUUUUGCACCAACCUA